AGAAGAUCAAUGGAAAGAAGAACCUGAUCGAUCGUGUGACGAUUGAGUUUAUCCUUGCAUAUGAAUUAUUGAUUAUUGAAUAAAAGUUAUUCUGAUAUUUUUCAUCACAAAGUAACAUCUUCCUUGAACUCUUGUGUUGUGAUGAAGUUCUUAGAACUAUGCUAGUGUGUAAUAAAGAAAAGAUUUAUCGUAUAGUUUUUAAAUAUGUUCACGACCAAAUGAUACGUCAUUACAGGAUGAUGACGUUUAUCGAGUGGAGAUCGUUGUGUGCCAUAUGGAUUAGUUAUCCUCUUAAUCAAAGAGUAUGGUGAUACUGCUAUGGCAUACGGGGUGAGAUGUAGGGGUACAUCGUCACUGAACAAGUGACUCACC
rnacentral:lncRNA from 1 species